AUUUGACUUAGUGUGACAAGUGAGCCAUUUUAUUUUAUUGACUUUUCUUUUACUAACUGUAAGCUGCCUUCAGGAUCUUUGUGUUAAAAAGGUGCCAUCUACCCAUAGCUGUCAACCUUCCCUUUUUUUGCGGGAAAUUCCCUUAUUUCAGCGCCAUUUCCCGCUGCUAUCCCAGAUUGUUAGAUAUCCCAUAGACUGUCUCCGGGACAGGGGAGGCUGCUGAUCCCUUAUUUUCAAAUCCGAAAGUUGACAGCUAUGCAUCUAUCUAUCUAUCUAUUUAUCUAUCUAUCCAAUGAAUGUUGCUUAGUCCUGCUAAAUACUGCAAAAAACCCCAAAACAAACCACCUGCCCCUACCACUCCCAACUUGCCCUAACUAUUCCAUACCUCUUUUCUCUGGUCUUCCCUUAACCCACCUCUCACCUCUAUCCAAAACUCCGCUGCCAAUAUCACCGCCCUGUCAUUCAGAUCAUUUUAAUGUGUAGUUUGAAUUGUAGUUUAUGCAUGUAGCAGGGAAGGCUUUAAGAAUGGCUUGUAGCUGAUGUUCUCUGGAGCUACAGAGAUGAAUUUGCCUCAGAUGACUAAAAACAUUUUUUUUUUUUGUCAGUUUUCCACAGAGGAGCAUUUUGCAAAGGAAUAAAGCUUCUCCACACAGCUCUCCCUAAUUUAUAUCAAAAUCUGGCCUAGGCUGCUCCCCGAUGGAACUGUAUGCUCGAUUUUAAAUUAAAUAUGAAAUGUCAGCAUUUUUAAUGCAGUCUUAAUGGACAAACACUCCUCCAGCACAUUAGGGGGGAAAUACGUUUGGAAAAUAUUGAUGGAGUAGGAUUUUGCUUUGAAAUAUAUAUAUAUGGAGGGAUUUUAUCAAAACGUUUAUAUUAGACCCUGUGGCAAGUUGCCUUGCAACUCCAUUGCUCAGCUUAUUUAAAGAUGCAACUAUUGGUUUAUUAUUAUAACAAAUAUAAUAUAUUACAGCCGGUGCUUUUUUUCUGGGGGUACACAGGGGUACGCAUACCCCCAAACAUUUUAUGAAUCUUUGUACUUUUGUCCAUUUACUGUAUUUAUUUUUCCCAGUUUGAACUAUAAAAUGGUGAUUUUCUUGAGUCAAAAUGAGAGUACUCCUAAACAUUUUUUAAGAAAAAAAGCAAUAAUUACAGCAUUGGCACCAGUGCUGUGACUUUUAGCCCAGGGGUCAGCAAACUUUUUCAGCAGGAGGCCGGUCCACUGUCCCUCAGACCUUGUGGGGGGGCUGGACUAUAUUUUGGAAAAGAAAAAAAAAGAACAAAUUCAUAUGCCCCACAAAUAACCCAGAGAUGCAUUUUAAAUCGAAGGACAUAUUCUGUUCAUGUAAAAACACCAGGCAGGCCCCACAAAUAACCCAGAAAUGCAUUUUAAAUAAAAGGACACAUUCUACUCAUGUAAAAACAUGCUGAUUCCCGUACCGUCCUCAGGCUGGAUUUAGAAGGCGAUUGGGCCGGAUCCGGCCCCCAGGCCUUAGGUUGCCUACCAAUGCUUUUAGCAAUCAGGGACUUCCUGUGCAAGGAUGCUCAACUUGUAGUCCUGAGUGAGGAGGGGAGGGUAAGGUUGGCAGAUGAGAGAGUGAUGGGGGAGCUGGUGGCCUUGCUUGCAAUACUUCUAAGAACAAGUCCCUUUGCUCUGUACAGUGGUGCUUCGCAAGACGAAAAGAAUCCGUUCCGCGAGUCUCUUCGUCUUGCGGGUUUCUUCGUCUUGCGAAGCAAGCCCAUUAGAGGUUUAGCGGCUUAGCGCUACCCGGCUUAAAGAUCAGCUGAUAAGGGGCUUAACGAUCAGCUGAUAAGCGGCUUAGCAUCAGCUGUUAAGCGGCUUAAAGAUCAGCUGAUAAGCGGCUUAGCAUCAGCUGUUGAGCGGCUUAAAGAUCAGCUGAUAAGCGGCUUAGCCGUCAGCUGAUAAGCGGUUUAGCGGCUUGGGAAAAAGGGGGGGGGAGGAAAAAAACCCCGCAGGAACUCGCAAGACAUUUUCGUCUUGCGAAGCAAGCACAUAGGAAAUUCGUUUUGCGAAGCACCUCCAAAACGGAAAACCCUUUCAUCUAGCGGGUUUUCCGUCUUGCGAGGCAUUCGUCUUGCGGGGCACCACUGUACUGGCUAAAUGUUAUCAUUCCCUUAAAACCACCCGUCUGUAUAACAUUUCUUCUUUCAAGAUAGCGUUUCCAUGUGUUCUGAAUUUCUGGCUGCUGCAAGUUUGUCAGAACUUUACUAUAUAUAUAUAUAUAUAUAUAUAUAUAUAUAUAUAUAUAUAUAUAUGCACGCCUGAGAUGAGUGAAACUAGAGCCAAGAUAAUACCCACCCCCACUUUCUCCCUCCCAAGUAUAUGGGCAUGUGCAGGUAGUUAUAGAAAACUAUAGGUGGUGAUGACAGCUUGACUAGGAGUGCAAAAUGUACAAUAAAGCAAUCACUUCUAAAAAAUUUCAUCAGGGGACCUUUAAUAUUUCCUGAAGUGCCAGCAUCUGGAAAUGGGGUGGGGGGGAGAGAGAGAAAUAAUGAGAAGGUAGUUUCGUAAUUUAGGUUCUGCAACAGUAAAACUGAGUGCAGCUAAACUGCAUGCGUAGGGAUUUGCAAUAUUCCGAUCAAUGACUAAUUAACAGUCGGCCGAUGUUCUGAAGUUAGAAAACAGAUAUCUGUUUCAUUCUCCAUAAUACAUUCUGCUUAUUUUGUUUUAUUGAUUUUAUUCUUUUUUAAAAAAAUAGAAGCGUUUGAAAAGUAUAGAAGUGUUUUCAAAAAAAAUAAUUCUAAACAGUUUUGGGCCAGGCUAGAUGAGAAGAUUUGUGAUUGAAUCACCUGACAAUUAUUUUUAAAAAGCAGCUGGGGGCAGGUGGGAUUGGACUGAGACCUAAAUGGUGGGUGGGGCAGGGGGAUUUACCUUUUCCACUAUGCCUUUUUUGCAGUCUUAAUCUGUGCAUUGUACAUGUAGAAACGCAGCUGCCAUUUGUACCGCUUGGGAGGGGAAAAAAGAGUUAUCUGUGCUAUAUUUCUGCUCUAAAUCUCUUAGCACAGAUAAAUGUUUUUUAUUUUUAUUUAACAUUUGUAUUACUUACUUACUUGCUUUCCAAUGGGAAAUAAUUUCCUAAUUGCAUUAACAGGAGCUUCCCUCUCACUGCCAGUAGCAGGUGGGGGUGAUGUGGUAGAGCAAAGGAUUAUGGGUGAAACCCAACUGCAGCAAAUUCUUCCAGGAGUAUAAGUGUUAAAAUGAAUGGGCAUAAUAUGAGAAUGCAGCACCAAAAAAAGUGCACCUUUUGGUCUUGCGCGAUGACAAGCCCAGCACACAGGACCAAAAUGGGACAUACGAUACGAUACAAUAUCUUUAUUGUCAUUGUCCCAUACAGAACAAUGAAAUUGAAAAAUCUACAUAAGACAUUCAAAAACCCCUAAAAAAACUCUGAAACCCCAUUUAAAAAUACAAUAUACUCCUAUAGAGAGUCCUUAAAACCAGAAUUGCAUUUGGGUAGAAACUGUUUCUCAGGUGGCUAGUCCCAAGAUGGAAUCAGAAUCCAGAGUGGCUUCUGCCAUUCUGGGAUGUCCUGCUUAAGAUGGGACAGUCACAAGUGUGUGAUAUAACUGGUUUUUUUAAUGGUGCAUCUAUACACAUUCUGUAUAGUAUUAUAGGAUGCUUAUUUCUUUCUGGUGGUGGCUGAAAUGUCCAUGAUGGUCAGCAAGAAUUUUGUUAGCCCAAAGAUGGAAACAACAGGAGUUACCAACAAAAGAAGAGUGGCAGAUGAAGCCGAUGGACUUUGCAGAACUGGUGAAACUGAUGGGAAGAAUACGGAACCAGCGAGACCAAGCAUUCCAAAAGGACUGGAACAAAUUUAUAUUAUAUUUGAAAGAUAACUGUAAGCAAUUAACAUCAUUAGCAGGGUUAUCUGAAGAUCUGUAAGAUGAAAUUGCUACCUAUUCAGGUUGAGUAAUAUAAUAUUUCAGGUAACGAUACAACAAGGAUAGGAAACCAAGCGAAAUGUAAAGAUGUAAAGUUUAAUUUUGUAAACCAUCAGAUGGGAGGGAGGGAAGUCGUUGGCUCAGUUGAGCCAAAGAGAUAAAAUAAGAGGGUACGAUGUUACGUAAUAUGAUUAUAUGUAAAACCAAUAAAAAUCAUUUCUAAAAAAGAAAAGAAAAGACCAUGAUGGUCAUAGCAACAAAUAAAACUGAAUUGAUAUAACACCUGUUAUAAAAUGGCUGCACUGCUUGCCAGAUCGUUUCCAGGUUCUAAAUGACUCAGGCCGCACAUGCCUGAAAGACAGACUCCUUCCAGACAGACCCUUCCUCUUGAUAAUUCAUUAUCAUUAUGGCGAGGGUGGCCCAGGAGAUGGCAUUCUCUGUGGCAACCCCUAAACUGUGGAACUUCCUCCCCAACAUAUCAUCCUUGUUCCCCCACCCAUUUUUCCUCCCUCCCCCUCUCCCACACAACCUUCCCCCCUGCCCCCCGAC
rnacentral:lncRNA from 1 species